GCGGUAAAACCAGCUCUUCGAGUGGUGUCCAUGAUUAUUGAGCUUAAAGCGUUCGUAGCCGGUUUAGUAGGUCCCUGCUAAAAUCCGGCCGCCUAACGGUCGGCCUGGUAGGGAUACCGCUUUACUUGGGAAUGGGAGACGACGACGGUAUUCCGUAGGUAAGGGUGAAAUCUGAUGAUCUACG
rnacentral:rRNA from 1 species